CUGAUUGAUGGUGCUUGCACCUGAUUGACGAUGGAUCACCAGUGAGUGGCGGACGGGUGAGUAACACGUAGGUAACCUGCCCCGGAGCGGGGGAUAACAUUUGGAAACAGAUGCUAAUACCGCAUAACAACAAAAGCCACAUGGCUUUUGUUUGAAAGAUGGCUUUGGCUAUCACUCUGGGAUGGACCUGCGGUGCAUUAGCUAGUUGGUAAGGUAACGGCUUACCAAGGCGAUGAUGCAUAGCCGAGUUGAGAGACUGAUCGGCCACAAUGGAACUGAGACACGGUCCAUACUCCUACGGGAGGCAGCAGUAAGGAAUCUUCCACAAUGGGCGCAAGCCUGAUGGAGCAACACCGCGUGAGUGAAGAAGGGUUUCGGCUCGUAAAGCUCUGUUGUUGGAGAAGAACGUGCGUGAGAGUAACUGUUCACGCAGUGACGGUAUCCAACCAGAAAGUCACGGCUAACUACGUGCCAGCAGCCGCGGUAAUACGUAGGUGGCAAGCGUUAUCCGGAUUUAUUGGGCGUAAAGCGAGCGCAGGCGGUUGCUUAGGUCUGAUGUGAAAGCCUUCGGCUUAACCGAAGAAGUGCAUCGGAAACCUGGCGACUUGAGUGCAGAAGAGGACAGUGGAACUCCAUGUGU
rnacentral:rRNA from 1 species